rnacentral:lncRNA from 1 species
UUUGAGUCUCAUAACAUAUGUCAGGGCUCUGCCCGACUAAGUUGUUGGGAUUCUAUCUCGGGACUUCGGGACAAGGUUGAUUUAGGGGUACUAUGCUUAACACGAGUGCAUUAUAUAUUUUAAUAGCCCAAAAAGUUAUACCCAAAGUUUAUACCAAGAGUCCUUCUAGUUGAAACCUAAAGUUACACAGUGGGUCCACUCUCUUUACUCACUGUUUUAUUCUCUUAUUGUGAUUUACCCAAAACUAUUAUUUAUUAUUCUAUUUUGUAAACAACUCUCAAUCAAAAGUCAUAUCUAUUAUUUUAUUUACCGAAUAGGAAACCCUAAUAAAGAUACCCAAGUAAUCCUGCACAACUCCUAAAAUUUUCAGAACAAUCAGAAUCAGGAUCAGGGCCCCUAAAACUCAGGGGGGGUAUUCCCUACUCGAUGAUUAUCCAUAAAAUUUGCUGUCAAAAUUUGAAAUUAUCGUUUCAUCGAAUCAGCUAACCUAUCAAUGCACGUAGCAAGCCUUUGACGUAAUGUAGGCCGCCGCGUCACGCGACGCCCCUAUGGGGACCCCUCGCGUCACGCGAGGGGGUCAAUUUUCGGCUAUAAAUAGCUUGGUUCACAAGCUAUUCGUCUGUGUCAAAAUCAAUUCACAAAAGUGAAUUCUCAUCACUCAAAAUUCAAAUUUAAGAUAUCGGGGUACUGCUACGAUACCGGGUAUUAACUCGAUCGCUGCUACGAUUCAAUAUCCGAUCGAUUGAAAAUAUCCAACAGAUGUUUAAGUGCUGCCCACAUUAGGGUUAUACUUUGUCAUUCGUCGUGAUUUCGACUUGAAUGUUUGAGUGUUGUCCGAACUCGGGCUAUACUCUGUCAUUCGUUGUGAAUCCGCUGGAUGUUUAAGUAUCGCACUUUGUCAUUUGUUGUGAGAGUAUUAAUCUCGUGAGUUAUCAUAAAUGCUGUAUUAGUUAAUUACCUAGUUUUCGUAUGCAUUAUAGUUUAAAUUAGGUUAUCAGGCUUAUCAGUAGACUAAACUCUACCCAUACACUUACAAUCAAAGUAGAUGCUAGUUCUCAGAAGAAUCUGAAUCAUGAAGCUUGUUAAUUCAAUACUGCAUACUUAUAAUGUAAUUACAGUAGAUUGGAGUAAGGAUUGGAUCCGGCACUAAAAGACUUCAAGAAGUGGCUUAUUUUAUUAAUUAAAUUAAAUUAAGUAAAAUUGUUUUUAUUAAAAGCUACCUUUGUAAAAAUGGAAUUUAUUCCAUCUAUUUAAUAAAUAAAAUCCGGUGUU